GGUAAGUGCGGGCGAGCAGCGGGGGGAAUAGGAGGGGGGCUAGCGUGGCGCGGAAUCACUGGGCGUAAAGCGCACGUAGGCGGCGUUUUAAGGCAGGGGUGAAAUCCUGGAGCUCAACUCCAGAACUGCCUUUGAUACUGAGAAGGUUGAGUCCGGGAGAGGUGAGUGGAACUGCGAGUGUAGAGGUGAAAUUCGUAGAUAUUCGCAAGAACACCAGUGGCGAAGGCGGCUCACUGGCCCGGUACUGACGCUGAGGUGCGAAAGCGUGGGGAGCAAACAGGAUUAGAUACCCGAGUAGUC
rnacentral:rRNA from 1 species